GCUUGUCUAGCUCAGUUGGCAGAGCGCAAGGCUCUUAACCUUGUGGUCUUGGGUUCGAGACCUAAGGUGGGUG
rnacentral:tRNA from 1 species